rnacentral:tRNA from 1 species
GGAGAGGUGGCCGAGCGGUCGAAGGCGCCUGACCGGAAAUCAGGUAUGCGGUAACACCGUAUCGUGGGUUCGAAUCCCACCCUCUCCGCCA